GAAGAUUGGUUUUCUUACACGCUUUAUAUAGCCUUAGGUUAGGCGCGUGGGUAAUUAUAACCUAUCUUGGUUAAAAUUAUUUUUUCAUUAAAAUUAGAGAUAGGUUUGGCAAUGAAGUGCCAUAUCCCAAAAUUGUUCCACCUUAUAGAUUUCAAUUGAAUCGUGAGCGUUAACGUUUUAUUGAAAGCACUACUGCAUAUCAUGCACAUCUCACGUGAUCUAUAUCGAAAGAAAAAUUUUCAAAAGUCUUUUAUCAUUCUCUCUUCAAAACGUUCACAAAUUUAGAUGUCACCACCGGUUUUUUUAAAAUGCAUUGAGACGAGUUCUAUAAAACAACUUUUCCAAAUGAAGUGACAAACAUGCUUUUGGUUGAUCAAUGAUCCAACUAGUGAAGAUGCUCCUUUGAAGUUAGCGAUACGGUGCCAAAGUUUUGUUCGCUUUCAGGAGAAUGGAACAAAUUUUGUUAGACUAGAAUAUUGGUGGAUGGUUCCACUAUCAAGAUUGGUUUUCCA